UACGUAGGGUGCGAGCGUUGUCCGGAAUUAUUGGGCGUAAAGAGCUCGUAGGCGGUCUGUCGCGUCGGCUGUGAAAACCCGGAGCUCAACUCCGGGCCUGCAGUCGAUACGGGCAAACUGGAGUGUUGCAGGGGAGACUGGAAUUCCUGGUGUAGCGGUGAAAUGCGCAGAUAUCAGGAGGAACACCGGUGGCGAAGGCGGGUCUCUGGGCCGAUACUGACGCUGAGGAGCGAAAGCGUGGGGAGCGAACAGG
rnacentral:rRNA from 1 species